CAGAACUGCGUAGAUGAUUAUCGCCUAAUCAAAUUUGAAGUAAUUGUUUUGGGAAAUAUUGCAGGAUAUUUACUCUGGUCUGUUCCAUUACACUGUCCUCGGAUAUUUGGGCAGAGGCACCUUCGGACAGGUCGCAGUGGCCUUGCAACACGAGAAAAAGAGAUACGUGGCCAUCAAAGUGCUCAGAAAGCAGGCAUCGUAUAGAAGACAGGGAAUGCUCGAGAUAUCGUUUCUAAAAAUGUUCCAAUCAACCGACCCAUUAAACGGAAAUGGGCACUUAAUUUCGCUUUUGGACGACUUUGAGCACCAGGGACACAUCUUCAUUGUCUGUGAAUUGCUCUCGCAAAAUCUGUACGAGUUUAUGAAUGCGUUCAAAUCGGUGCCUCUUUACGGAAUCAGAGCAAUCACAUUCCAAGUAGACAUUUUGCCAAAUAUUUUAGAUUCUCAAAGCUCUAAUUACACUGUCCAGUUGUGGAAUUGUCCACGCCGAUCUAAAACCGGAGAAUAUAAUGAUCGUCAACCACCAGAAGUAUCCUUUUUGGGUGAAGAUCAUUGACUUUGGUUCCGCCAUUUCAAGGUCCCAGAACGAAAUUCCGUCGUACCUCCAAUCACGAUACUACAGAGCCCCGGAAGUGAUUAUUGGGUGCAAGUACGGGAACGCGAUUGACAUGUGGUCACUUGGGUGCAUUAUGGGAGAGCUCGUGACUAACUGGGCAAUCUUUCCGGGCUCCAAUCAGUAUGAACAG